rnacentral:miRNA from 1 species
AAAAUGUUCGCUUGGCUUUUU